AGACAGAGCCCUUAACAGUCAAUGUUUCAGGACUGUUUCCUCCACUAUUUGUAAUCUUCUUUGAUUUAGGUACCUAGAUCUCUGCUAUUAAUAUCAACAUAUGGUUCCUACCCCAGCCUAUCCUAGAGCACAUGUCUGAACUCCAGUCA